UACGGGGGGAGCAAGCGUUGUUCGGAUUUACUGGGCGUAAAGGGCGCGUAGGCGGCGCGACAAGUCACUUGUGAAAUCUCUGGGCUCAACCCAGAACGGUCAAGUGAUACUGUCGUGCGUAGAGUGCGGAAGGGGCAACUGGAAUUCUUGGUGGUAGCGGUGAAAUGCGUAGAUAUCAAGAGGAACACCUGCGGCGAAGGCGGGUUGCUGGGCCGACACUGACGCUGAGGCGCGAAAGCUAGGGGAGCGAACGGG
rnacentral:rRNA from 1 species